UACGUAGGGUGCAAGCGUUGUCCGGAAUUAUUGGGCGUAAAGAGCUCGUAGGCGGUCUGUCGCGUCUGCUGUGAAAACUCGGGGCUUAACCCCGGGCCUGCAGUGGGUACGGGCAGACUAGAGUGCGGUAGGGGAGACUGGAACUCCUGGUGUAGCGGUGAAAUGCGCAGAUAUCAGGAGGAACACCGGUGGCGAAGGCGGGUCUCUGGGCCGUAACUGACGCUGAGGAGCGAAAGCAUGGGGAGCGAACAGG
rnacentral:rRNA from 1 species